GCAAGUCGAGGGGUAACAGGAGGGCUUGCACUCGCCGACGACCGGCGCACGGGUGAGUAACGCGUAGAGAAUCUACCUUUUACAGGGGGAUAGCCUUUAGAAAUGAAGAUUAAUAUCCCAUAGUAUUGAGACUUGGCAUCAAGACUUAAUUAAAGAUUUAUCGGUAAAAGAUGACUAUGCGUCCUAUUAGCUAGAUGGUAAGGUAACGGCUUACCAAGGCGACGAUAGGUAGGGGCCCUGAGAGGGGGAUC
rnacentral:rRNA from 1 species